UAAACCAGAAGCCGAUGGUCAUCUUCUAAACAGUAUCCAAUCAAUUUCACAAGAUUCGGAUGAUAAAGCUGCCCGAGAAAGUUGAUUUCAGUCAGCCAUUCCUGGUGACCCUGGAAACUCUCUUGGUUAAGCCUCUUCACAGCAACGAUCAUGCCUGUUCCAGGCUUGCCAGGUGUUAGAGAGUGCUCAUCAAUCCAUCCUUUGUAAACACAACCAAAUCCUCCUUCACCCAGCACACUAUCCGGACGGAAGUUCCUGGUUGCUGCCUUUAGUUCACUAUAGCUAAAGCUCUUCAAAUUGGAAGACUGCAAGAUCUCACCCUCUGUCCGAGGAGUUGAAGGCACUGUGACAGUCAAUACUCUGCUAGAUCCACUCGCAUCAUAUGCACCUUUGCCACCAUAUUUUGGAUCUGCCCCAUGGUGAAGAGGACUCUCAGCUUUAAUUCUUACACUAAAGCACGAACCCAUUAACAAAAAGCUCAAAGCUCAAAGCUCAGUGCUCUUCACUCUUCUGACCAGCCCCCCCAAAUGCCAAAGAUUAGAGAAGUAUAGAAACCAAAC
rnacentral:misc_RNA from 1 species